CCGCCCCCUCCCAAAGGGCAAGGGGACAGUGACUGGCCCUCUUGUUGGAUGCUCUGGUGCAGAAAAAAAUCAUUCCUCCCGCUAUAACUGGGUGAUCUAAGGUACUCGGGACAGGGUCGAGCAUACGUCAUCUCUCACCAAGGUACCGAAGACCACCACCGCUCACAGAUCGGCUCAAGUCGCACACACAAGUACACAUACUGCCCACCAAAGGGUUCAACCACAGAAAAGCCGGUUAGAAGAAACAAAGAACCAGAACACACACACACACACACACACACACACACACACACAUAGAGAUACAAGAUGAAGGCGAGGCAGCUACUGUUGGUACGCACCAUCCCCCUCAUUCGCCCUGUCAAGGUGGAUCCUGCUACUAAGAAGUUACCAGCCACAUUGCUCAACGACGUAACGAUGUUGUCCACGGUGACAAACGAUGCCUUUUCCAAACAGUGCCAAGCAGUGCUCCGAAGUGUCUCAAAGAACAAACUGUACUCAAGUCGCUUCUGGGUGACCCAGCCGCAAUCGAGGCGCUCGUGCAACGCCGUAGUUCUUCCGGGGCAGAAGCCAGCGGUGAUUCACCUAAACGUUGAAAAGGUCAUCCCUUUGAAGGUGCUCGCUAAGAAGGACCAGAGGAAGGUGCUCGAUGAGCAUCCACCGUUCUUCGGCUCCGGCGUCGGUAUCCUGUCAGAGCGGAAGAAGUGGAAAGCAGUUACGGCGGAUCGACUAAUCCGGCUUCUGAAUGCAGCGGAGGAAGAGCGCGCUCUGUUUAUUGAUGUGAAUGUGGCCAAGGAACUCGAGUUGAGGUACAACAAAAAAGACGUGAUCGACAUCCGCUCCGCGAGCUCAGUGGCUGUCUUCAACUCUGACCAGCUUGACGACCCAUACAAGGGGGAGCCUCAGAAAGGUGUGGCACUAAACGCAGCGACCGGGAAGCGGCUCGGCCAGCCUGCGCACGAUAUUCUUCUCGGAGUCGGCAUCCUUCGCGGUUACACGUCACCAAUGUGGAUCGCAGAGGCUCAGAUGAAGUACCUAAAUCUAGAACUCAAGGCAAACGCGGAGAAGCAGGCAGUGUCGGCGCCGAACAUGACAGGGAUGAUUGUUUCUCUUUCGGUUUUGCCGCCAAAGUGCAAGCAAGAGCUGCUCAGCGAGCUCAAGAAGCAGCGUCCAGACGCUUUCGGCCACGACAUUUUCUUCAUCUACAACGUGAACGGGUGGGAAGCGACGCGGUCGCGUGUGCUUGUGCGGAACAUGGCUGCCGUGAACGAUAAGGAAUACCCUUUCCACUUUGUGAAUCUGAAGGAUCUCAGACUGCAGAAGCCGCAGUACUCAUCGGUCGUGACCCGGCUGACGGGCUGCAAGACUCCAUUCUGCGCGUCUGCUCUGGAAACCGCUGCUCUUGCUGCUACCAAAUCGAAGGAAGGGAAUCAAAAGGAUGACCUAGUGGUUCAAGGGAAAACGUUUCCCUUCUUCUUCGCCGAGGACGCGACGCGCCGUCGCUACUACAACGCCGCCUGCAUGACGAAGCCGUAUCUGAUGAUGCCGUCUGUGCGUCCCAUCGCCAUCCUUAAAGGGCGGCUUCUUGGGCCCAGGGACGAGAGCAUUCUUCGCACGUUUGCGCUGAAGAACAAGCUCUCCAGUCCCAUCUGGGUAACAGAGUCCGCUGCGGAGCGCAUGGGAGUGCGUAUCGCUGCGGCGCGCAAAAAGCACUAUGUUCUCAUCGGCGCUGCCGCGGCAGAUGCAAACCCCGACGAGGAGGCCGUAGAUGGCUUUUACAACAUCGACGAUUUUGCCAAGCCUGAGGAGAUCCUAUCCUUGUUCCCCAAAGCAAGCAAGAAAGUGCACUUCAUGCUGGAUACUAAGUGGCGCGCCGUGCUGGGCAAACAGCGGCAAGACUACCUUUCUUCGCUAAAGCGCGACGUCCCUCUGUGGGUCUCGGUGAACGAGUGUCUAAUGUCCGGCUUUGAGCCGAGACCAGGGUCUACGCUCCUUUCGUUUCCCACUAGCCGCAAGCGCGACAAGACGGGCACAAGGCUCUACAACUCGCAGCACACCACCGACCCGGUGCGCGUGAUUGGUCUCUCCUCGGUGUACACGCGACCACAGGGGCUGACAAUGUAAGAGCACUGCAAGCGUGUGGGCUGAAGAAAAGCAUGCGUAUUGGAGAGUCCGUUUGGCGCGUUUUCGCUUUUUGUUUUCUCGCUCGUAUGUGCAUACUGAGCUGCUCUCGCAAACGUAGCGGCUUCGCGCGUGAAGCGCUGUAUUAAAUGCUUUUUCGUUUUCGGUACUAUAGAUAUAGAUGGACACUGAUAGAGAAGUGCAUAAAGAAGAAAUC
rnacentral:misc_RNA from 1 species